rnacentral:rRNA from 1 species
GACGAACGCUGGCGGCGUGCCUAAUACAUGCAAGUCGAGCGGACCAAAGGGAGCUUGCUCCUGGAGGUCAGCGGCGAACGGGUGAGUAACACGUGGGCAACCUGCCUGUAAGACUGGGAUAACAUCGAGAAAUCGGUGCUAAUACCGGAUAAUAAAAAGAACUGCAUGGUUCUUUUUUGUAAAGAUGGUUUCGGCUAUCACUUACAGAUGGGCCGCGGCGCAUUAGCUAGUUGGUGAGGUAACGGCUCACCAAGGCAACGAUGCGUAGCCGACCUGAGAGGGUGAUCGGCCACACUGGGACUGAGACACGGCCCAGACUCCUACGGGAGGCAGCAGUAGGGAAUCUUCCGCAAUGGACGAAAGUCUGACGGAGCAACGCCGCGUGAGUGAUGAAGGUUUUCGGAUCGUAAAACUCUGUUGUUAGGGAAGAACAAGUGCCGUUCGAAAGGGCGGCACCUUGACGGUACCUAACGAGAAAGCCACGGCUAACUACGUGCCAGCAGCCGACGG